rnacentral:lncRNA from 1 species
GACCUAUGGACUUAAUAUUGGUUAAUCAUGUCUUAGUGUUUGCAACUUGAGCUCUUCAUAAGAGGUAAUUGAACAAUUGGCCAGGUAAGCAGAUGGGAGGCUCGCCUUACUCAGAGAGUAAGGUUCUAAUUAAGUAACCACCUUUCAUGCUUUUCUAGACACCAGUUAGAUUAAUUAAUCUAAUAUGACUCGCUCAUGUUGGUUCACUCUCGACUUGAUUGAGGAGGUUUUAGUUUAGGUCUC